AGUGAACGCUGGCGGUAGGCCUAACACAUGCAAGUCGAACGGCAGCACAGUAAGAGCUUGCUCUUACGGGUGGCGAGUGGCGGACGGGUGAGGAAUACAUCGGAAUCUACUUUUUCGUGGGGGAUAUCGUAGGGAAACUUACGCUAAUACCGCAUACGACCUACGGGUGAAAGCAGGGGAUCUUCGGACCUUGCGCGAUUGAAUGAGCCGAUGUCGGAUUAGCUAGUUGGCGGGGUAAAGGCCCACCAAGGCGACGAUCCGUAGCUGGUCUGAGAGGAUGAUCAGCCACACUGGAACUGAGACACGGUCCAGACUCCUACGGGAGGCAGCAGUGGGGAAUAUUGGACAAUGGGCGCAAGCCUGAUCCAGCCAUACCGCGUGGGUGAAGAAGGCCUUCGGGUUGUAAAGCCCUUUUGUUGGGAAAGAAAAGCAGAAGGUUAAUACCCCGCUGUUCUGACGGUACCCAAAGAAUAAGCACCGGCUAACUUCGUG
rnacentral:rRNA from 1 species